rfam:Vigna radiata var. radiata cultivar VC1973A scaffold_387, whole genome shotgun sequence
UUAAAGGUUCUUUUGUACUGGGAAGUAUUUUUAGAACCACAAACAUAAGAAAAGAAACUAAA